UCCCUUUCCAGGGCCAGUGCCCUAUUGCCUUCGGUGUCUGUCUUACCCUCUGGAACCGGGCAAGCUGGCUUCUGUGUUCUCAGGCACUAGGGCACCCUCAGCACCUGGCAGCGCCCCACUCAGGUCCGGGAGGGGCUCUGUGUCUGAAGAAUCCGUGAAGGAGGGAACACGUGAACCGAAUAAUGAAAUGCCCAGCAGGGUCAUGCACCCUGGGCAGAGUGGGCUCUAGAUCAGCCGGCUGGGGGCACCUGGUGGGUGGUGCUGGUCUGGGCGUUGCCCUCGUCCGUGGAGGCCAGGAACGUGUUUCAUCCCUACCCUUGUGCCCCCCUCCCCGCACGUGUUACAAGGUCUGGCGCCAAACGCAGGACCUAAAGAACCUGAGGCAGGACCCCCAGGACCGCGGGCAUAGGCCUGAGGCCAAGGACGCAGAGCACUAGGGACAGGGGAGGGUGGAGGAGCACAGCACCCAGGACGGUCAGCGUGGGGACCCCAGGCAGCGGGCGCAGCACACGGAGCGCAGGGCCGGGGCAGAGGGCACAGGGAGCCCAGCCCUGUCCGAGGUCGGGACGCCCGAGGUGCUGGGUGCACAGAGUCCCCGCGACGCGGGGAGAUCAGACGAGGGGUGUACCAAGGGCGGGACGCCCUGGGCGUGGGGGUGUUCUGACAUGGGGUGCUGAGAAGGGGGGGGCCAGCGCGCAGGGUGCACAGCACGUGGGGUAUCGGAAGCUCGGGGCACACUCGGGUGGGAGUCCCGAGGCGCAAGGUGGGAUGCUGGGAGCGAGGAGUGGGGCGUCCGAGGCGCGGGGACCGACCGCGCAGCGCCGGCCACCAGGCACCCGGGCGAGGCUGCGCGCGACGCGCCCGUUCCCGGAGCCCGGCUGCUGGCGCGGCCUCCACUGCGGCUGCGCAGCUCGGGGUCUGGGGCGAGGAGAAGGGGCGCCCGAGCUCUUCGCGCCCCCACCUGCUCCCCAUCCUCUGCCUCUGAGCCCCUCGCCCGCCCGUGAGCCCAGAAGACCCGGAUGGAAUGGAGGCUGGCCAAGGGAUUCCGGUCGCGUCCACGGGCGCUCCGCGGACCACGGGCUUUGGGAGAAAGAGGAGGGGCUGGGAGGGGGUCCGGCCGGAUUUUUCCAAGCUGAGCUGGAAACCCCCUCUCCUCAUCUAAAUCCAGUGUCGGGCCUGCUCACCCGGAUCCCAGGCAAGAAGUCUGCAGCCACGGAACCCGGGCGUGAAGGGAGACGAGGUGGCCCACCUACCCUCUCCACCGGGAGUUCGGCCCGGAUCUGGCCUGGGUUCAGGGCUAUGAGAACCCCUGCCCAGUCCUGAAACGAAGGCUGUCCACACAGGGAGCGGAGGGCGCUGGGUUGCCAGAGAGAUGGCUCCUGGUCCCCCAACCAGCCUGGAAGUCUGGUGCCUGCCUUUCCCCAAGUUCCGCUACCAGGACAUGCUUCUCGAAAGGGCUUCUCUGAGGCCAGGUUAAUUCACUUGCAGAUGUCCAAUUUCAGCUGUUUUAAAAACUCAGUUCCCCUUCCAGUCGGCCCCAAGUUCUGUGUAUUUCCCACCCCACCGCUUCCAUGUUCUAUUCCUCACGCGUUCUGCAGAGCCAAGCUUGGGUGGCAAUGCAUUCUCUUCCCCGGAAACAGAGCCAGGGUUUGCCUCCCUCCCUGUCCUCGGCACGUCCCCUUCCUCUAGAAUCCAGAUCCGGAUCGGUCUGCUUCACUGCCUCCCACACCCCACUACUGCCGGCUCGAGUCCGGGAUCGAGUCCGCCAAGAUUCAGCCCGGAGUGUGGACUCGCAUACGCUCACUGCUUUACC
ensembl:lncRNA